AGCUCUGUGCUUUCAGCUUCUUUACAGUGCUGCCUUGUUGCAUUCAUGUCAAGCAGCAUUGUACAGGGCUAUGAAAGAACUGAGACCCGUUC
rnacentral:pre_miRNA from 2 species